GACGAACGCUGGCGGCGUGCUUAACACAUGCAAGUCGAACGGAAAGGCCUUUUCGGAGGUACUCGAGUGGCGAACGGGUGAGUAACACGUGGGUGAUCUGCCCUGCACUCUGGGAUAAGCCUGGGAAACUGGGUCUAAUACCGGAUAGGACCGCACUUUAGUGUGUGUGGUGGAAAGUUGUUUCGGUGUAGGAUGAGCCCGCGGCCUAUCAGCUUGUUGGUGGGGUAAUGGCCUACCAAGGCGGCGACGGGUAGCCGGACUGAGAGGUUGGUCGGCCACAUUGGGACUGAGAUACGGCCCAGACUCCUACGGGAGGCAGCAGUGGGGAAUAUUGCACAAUGGGCGCAAGCCUGAUGCAGCGACGCCGCGUGGGGGAUGACGGCCUUCGGGUUGUAAACUCCUUUCGCCAGGGACGAAGCGUUUUGUGGCGGUACCUGGAGAAGAAGCACCGGCUAACUACGUG
rnacentral:rRNA from 1 species